UCUGGGUGCGGUGGCUCACACCUGUAAUCCCAGCAUUUUGGGAGGCCGAGAUGGGUGGAUCACUUGAGAUCAGGAGUUUGAGACCAGCCUGGCCAACAUGGUGAAACCCUGUCUAUACUAAAAAUACAAAAAUUAGCUGGGUGUAGUGGCAGCUGCCUGUACUCCCAGCUACUCAGGAGGCUGAGGCAGGGAGAAUCACCUGAACCUGGGAGAUGGAGGUUGCAGUGAGCCAAGAUUGCACCACUGCACUCCAGCCUGGGCGACGGAGCGAGACUCCAUCUCU
ensembl:misc_RNA Metazoa_SRP Metazoan signal recognition particle RNA